rnacentral:lncRNA from 1 species
AAAAAUUGAUGAGAAUAUUUUUCAUAGAUCCAUCAUUAUUCAAAUAGGUUAGGAAAAUAUUUUUGUAUUUUUUGAAUAUCAAAAACUAUUUAAAAUGAAUUAAAAAUAACCAGAAAAGAGAAAAUUCACAAAAAAUAUCAGAUGACAAAAUAAAAAAUAUUAAAAAUCAGAAAUAGAAACUAGAAUUUAUUUGUGAAAUAAUGCAAUUGGUCCCAUAUUUUUUGGAUAAAAAAUGAAAGAGAUAUUAAUUUUUGAAAAUAAUUGGAAUUAAAGAAAA